AGAAAGUCAUGGUCAAACCUUCUUCCACUUAAAGCAUGUGCCACAAUUCUAAUUUCAUCUGGUGAUGCCCACAGGGGAACAUUCCUGCAAUACAUGUAAUACAGUCAGGGCUUUGUCUUGUGUCAUUGAGGAUAGAACCAUAGACUUCAUCGAAUAAACCUGGUGCAUGGAUUUUGCAGAAUUCCUCCAUUUCAUUGGGGUCAUACAAAUGAUGGCCUCCCUUUGUGUAAUUUGUUGUUAAUGCUGUAU